GUGGUCAGAGCGAGCUUCGGAGAAGCAGUGGUGGGUUCCAUGUGAUGGUGGAGUAGGAGGCAGGUCUCCGCGGUUCAUCUGUGUUGCUCUAAAUGACACUGUUUCAUUAUUUUGAUGGCUGGAGAAUAUUUCCUAGUGUAUGUAUAUGAGAGUUUCUUGAUCUCUUUAUCUGUGGAUGAACAGAAGCUCUCAACAUCUCUUCUUAAUUGGAGAAAGUGUUAAGCCCCAAAGUAGCUGGAGCAGUACAUCUUCAAUUUUUGACAAGAAAGCAGGAACUUGAUUACUUUGAGUGCUAUUCAUUAGUUUCUGCUUUCAUUGAGAAUGCAACAAAAGCCAACUAGGCUGCUGCUAACUCCUUGCUGGACUUCUUCUGCCACUGUCACAGGAACUGUAAUCUCACUGGACAAUUAACUAGGGAGUCUUUCAUCUUGAGUGACUGCUGCACAAAUGAUCUUCAAAGCAUUUUAGCCACCAGAGGAAUUCUCUUGAAAUACCCAAAAUCCAUCAGUAUCUUGAAUCAUGCUGGAUUUUGAAGAAUUCUUAACAAGCCAUGUAAAGGGGGCUCUCUGGCCUUGAAAUAGUGAUGUUUUUUAUACAGAAAGGAGAAUGCAGAAUGGUCAGACUACCAUGCACUGUUAAAUUUGAUUUCAAGAAAUUACAGGAAAACUUUCCAAAGUUCCAUCUCACAGAAAUUAUUUUUACAAAGAAUUCCAAGAUAAGUUUAGUUUUAUGGAAGACUUUUAUGUGGUUUUUACUCACUCUUCAUCUCA
ensembl:lncRNA DUXAP9 double homeobox A pseudogene 9